rnacentral:sRNA from 1 species
UGAUAGCCCUGAUGAGAGUGGAAAUCCUGGCGUUGUGAGAUUGCUUCGCGAGCUCGCAAUGACAGAUUGUAACGUACAGCAGGAACAGGG